rnacentral:rRNA from 1 species
AGACCCGAAACCCGGUGAUCUAGCCAUGGGCAGGUUGAAGGUUGGGUAACACUAACUGGAGGACCGAACCGACUAAUGUUGAAAAAUUAGCGGAUGACCUGUGGCUGGGGGUGAAAGGCCAAUCAAACCGGGAGAUAGCUGGUUCUCCCCGAAAGCUAUUUAGGUAGCGCCUCGUGAAUUCAUCUCCGGGGGUAGAGCACUGUUUCGGCUAGGGGGCCAUCCCGGCUUACCAACCCGAUGCAAACUGCGAAUACCGGAGAAUGUUAUCACGGGAGACACACGGCGGGUGCUAACGUCCGUCGUGAAGAGGGAAACAACCCAGACCGCCAGCUAAGGUCCCAAAGUCAUGGUUAAGUGGGAAACGAUGUGGGAAGGCCCAGACAGCCAGGAUGUUGGCUUAGAAGCAGCCAUCAUUUAAAGAAAGCGUAAUAGCUCACUGGUCGAGUCGGCCUGCGCGGAAGAUGUAACGGGGCUAAACCAUGCACCGAAGCUGCGGCAGCGACACUCAGGUGUUGUUGGGUAGGGGAGCGUUCUGUAAGCCUGUGAAGGUGUGUCGUGAGGCAUGCUGGAGGUAUCAGAAGUGCGAAUGCUGACAUAAGUAACGAUAAAGCGGGUGAAAAGCCCGCUCGCCGGAAGACCAAGGGUUCCUGUCCAACGUUAAUCGGGGCAGGGUGAGUCGACCCCUAAGGCGAGGCCGAAAGGCGUAGUCGAUGGGAAACGGGUUAAUAUUCCCGUACUUGGUGUUACUGCGAAGGGGGGACGGAGAAGGCUAUGUUGGCCGGGCGACGGUUGUCCCGGUU